GGAAGAGUAUGAGGAGUAUCAACAUUAAUUCUUCCCUGAAAUUCUGCUAAAAUUCUGUGGUCUACUCCUUUGUGUGAAAUAUUUAACAAAGACACAGACGUCUGAUCAGGGCCUGCAGAUCUUGCCAAGAUGCACUGUGAGCAAGACUUGCCAGUGGGUGGUGAAACACGGGUCAUCCUGCAGUCCACAUCUGUGAAGCCAGGAAUAGACAGUUUUUCAAAAACAUGAGGGAGCUCUUCAAAUAGAAGAGGAUGAUUAGAAUCAAUGGGACUCGGAAGUAUGAACUCUCCCAACGUUCUCUCCGCUCACUUCCACUGCACUGCCGUGGAGAAAGCAGCAGUUCUGCCACAUUGUUCCUGCUUUGGAGUCACCAACCAUGGGCCAGAUCUUUUGAACUGGUGAAUUUAAACUGAGAGGGGAAGCACUCAAGAUGUUCUUCAACAGAGGAAUAAACCUUGAGGUUUUAGUUCCUGACUGGCUGGCCAUCGUGGUGCAAGGACCUGGCAGAGAAAAUCUCAAGUCAUGCUGUCUUACAAGGAGAACACAAGGGGAAGAGCCAGAGUAUAAGGGAUUUGUCUUGGUUACUUUCACAUCGCUGAGACAAAAUACUUGAUGUUCACAACUUAAAGAAGGUUUAUUUCAUCUCGUGGUUUCAGUCAGUGGUUGGCUGGCUCCAAGGCAGGAAUAGGAUGGCAAAGGGGCAUGGCAGAGGAAAAGGUUCUUCACCUAUGGCAACCAGGAAGCACAGAGAAAAGAGCCAGGGACAAUAAUACACCUUUUCAAGUCACGCCCCCAGUGACCCAUCUCCGAUCAGGCCCCAUUUCCUAAUAGCAAGUCGGGUAUAAUGCCCCCAUGAUCCAAAAACCUUCCAAAUGCAUGAGGUUUCCAGGGCCAUUUUGGACCUGAACCAUAAUAGGAUCAGACACCAGAUGUAUUCCCUAAGGCCAUGCCCUCAGGGCCCAACCAAACACACUCAGAAAUGUUCUUUACUUAGUCUUGUAGGCAUAAUCUUACAAGCCAACCAAGUUCACAGUCACAAUCACAGCACAGAAAAGCAUACACCAGCAUGAAAUGCAUAUUGCUAUACGAAGGUAGCCAAUCUGACAAGUCUACAUACUCUGAGUCCACUGACAUAACUUUAUAACACAGAGUGAAUUUUUAAUUUAUACAUAUUUUAAGACAGAAAUAGAUCAAUGGAUACAGAAUGGGAUGCAGAAUAUUAAAAAGAUAUAAUGUGUGAAAUAAUCUUACUGAGGAAGACAGGGAGGGAAAAUAUUAAUCUAAUUAACUUUGGACAUGGGUGGAGAUUGUAUGACUAAAAGCAAAAGGAACCAUUCAUAAGAACCAUAUUCUAUUCUACUUGUUAAAGUUCUUUUCCAUGGGAGUAUAGAUUAAUAUUUCUGAAAUCACUAAUAUUUUAGAAUAAAUAAAUAAAUCAACAGAUGACAGAGAAGGUAGCUGAAUUACAAAUAAACAAGAGGUAAGUUAUAGUGAUCUAUGCAAUAAUGGAUUCAAAUUGUGGGUAUCAGUAUGAACUCAUGCUUAGCUUAGUAUAAAUAUAUAUAAAUACAUGUGGAAAUUCCUUUAGCUUUGUUUAAAUAUACAAGAUAUUACAUAUGCGUAUAUAGGUAUUUCCUUUCUCUGUCAGUUAGGAGUGUUUAGAAACAGUGACACCCCAGUGACACUGAGCAUGUCUAGCACCCAGGGUUUGGUUUUAAAUUCUAUGCUUUUAGAAAGAGAAACGGAACUCCAUGGAGAAACGGUUGAUUGCAGGGCUGGGUGUGGAAUAUGCAAGAUGCACCCGGAGUACCUGUGGUAGCAGAGAGUAAAUCUUGAAAAAAAUUGGUGUUCAAGGUAUAUUAAAGGGACGUAGGAGCCAACUGAUGGAGCUCCCAAGGCCAAAACUAGAAUAGCUUGAGAAACAAAAUAGAUGGCUUAACACUGGUUUAUAACCCAGAAUGUAAAUAAAUGUCUACUAUUUCAUAUGAUGAGAAUGGACAAACCUAUAUAGAGGUACCCCCUCUGGAUGAAGUAGAGAAAACUUCCACCCUUUAAAUGUGGGCUGUGUAUAAUGGCCUCCUUCCGUAUGGGGUGGAGAAGAAGAAUAACUUUACAGUGGAGUCCCUCGAAAAACCUUAUCUCAAUGCAGUGACCGAGAGUAGCAGCAUCAGUGACCAUUUGUAUUGUUAGCAUGCAUCCUUCCUAUGAUGAGAUGAGGAUGUAAGUUUACAUCUGCCCUCUUCCCCUUUUUAUAACUCAGUUUUAAUUAUGAGAAAAGUAAAAGACAACUCAAAUGAAGGGAUAUUCUACAUAAUUGCUAGCAGACGCUACUCAAUAUUGUCAGGAUGAUAGUUUGAGAAAUGAAAAUCGGAGGCACUGUCAUGCUCGAGAGGAGGCUAAGAGACUUGCCAACUAAAUGUAAUUACGUAUUCUUGAUAAGAUCCUAGAACAGGAGAAAAGGCAUUAGGUUAAACCUAGGGGAACCUGAAUAAUGUAUAGACUCAAUACGUAUUAAAAACUCAAUACUUUAAAAAAAAAUCAUGUGUCAGCACUGGCUUAUUAGUGGUGACAAAAGCCCUAUAGUUAUGUAAGAUAUUGACAGUAGGAGAGAUUUGAUGCGGGCUAGAAGGGACCUCUCUGUGUAAACUUUGUAACUCUUCUGUAAAUAUACAAAUAUUAUUGAGAAUAUUUAUUUUUAAAUGCAUCUUGAGGGAGAGGAGAAGGAUUUCUUAAAAUCUGAGUAAGGUAGUACUGGGUUUGUGUUUGCCACUGAGUAGUUGAGUAGUGGAAUGUAUUGCUUUGCUAAUGAGUAGUUGGCCUGGAAUUUAAAUGAUUAUCAGUCAGCAUGUUAAGAAGUUAUAUCUCCUCUGGAGACUGCUUUUAUGUUUUCUUCUAAUCUGUCAAGUCAAUAAUCCCAAGAUGAGGAUUAAUUUGUAUUGUAUUCAGUUAGACAGAAUGAGAAACAUAAUCAAUGUGGUAGUACUGAAAUAAAAACUUGACUCUUUCUCACAAUAAUAGGCU